rnacentral:rRNA from 1 species
AGCAGCCGCGGUAAUUCCAGCUCCAAUAGCGUAUAUUAAAGUUGUUGUGGUUAAAAAGCUCGUAGUUGAACCUUGGGCCUGGCUGGCCGGUCCGCCUCACCGCGUGUACUGGUCCGGCCGGGCCUUUCCCUCUGUGGAACCCCAUGCCCUUCACUGGGUGUGGCGGGGAAGCAGGACUUUUACUUUGAAAAGUUAGAGUGCUCCGGGCAGGCCUAUGCUCGAAUACAUUAGCAUGGAAUAAUAGAAUAGGACGUGCGGUUCUAUUUUGUUGGUUUCUAGGACCGCCGUAAUGAUUAAUAGGGACAGUCGGGGGCAUCAGUAUUCAAUUGUCAGAGGUGAAAUUCUUGGAUUUAUUGAAGACUAACUACUGCGAAAGCAUUUGCCAAGGAUGUUUUCAUUAAUCAGGAACGAAAGUUAGGGGAUCGAAGACGAUCAGAUACCGUCGUAGUCUUAACCAUAAACCUAUGCCGACUAGGGAUCGAACGAUGUUAUAUUUGACUCGUUCGGCACCUUAC